rfam:Mycobacterium fragae strain DSM 45731 contig_11, whole genome shotgun sequence.
CAGGUUCCGGUUCACGUCCGUUUCCCUAUCCAUUCGGGCGACCCGGCGACC